UAAAAAUUUGUAUGGAGUUGGAACGUUUUACGCCUACGCCUACGUUUGCCGCUAGGGGCGUUGUUUCAACUGCAUACAAAUUUGAGUUA
rnacentral:pre_miRNA from 1 species